GUGAGGAAUUUUCCGCAAUGGGCGAAAGCCUGACGGAGCAAUGCCGCGUGAAGGAUGAAGGCCUAUGGGUUGUAAACUUCUUUUCUCAGAAAAGAAUUAUGACGGUAUCUGAGGAAUAAGCAUCGGCUAACUCUGUGCCAGCAGCCGCGGUAAGACAGAGGAUGCAAGCGUUAUCCGGAAUGAUUGGGCGUAAAGCGUCUGUAGGUUGUUUAAAAAGUAUUCUGUCAAAGAUUAGGGCUUAACCCUAGAUAGGCAGAAUAAACUUUUAAGCUAGAGUUUGGUAGAGGCAGAGGAAAUUCCCGGUGGAGCGGUGAAAUGCGUAGAUAUCGGGAGGAACACCAAAGGCGAAGGCACUCUGCUGGGCCAAUACUAACACUGAGAGACGAAAGCGAGGGGAGCAAAUGGGAUUAGAAACCCGAGUAGUCC
rnacentral:rRNA from 1 species